CCUACGGGUGGCAGCAGUGAGGAAUAUUGGUCAAUGGGCGCGAGCCUGAACCAGCCAAGUCGCGUGAGGGAAGACGGUCCUAUGGAUUGUAAACUUCUUUUGUCAAGGGACAAAAUCAGGCUCGAGAGCCUGACCGAGGGUACUUGAAGAAAAAGCAUCGGCUAACUCCGUGCCAGCAGCCGCGGUAAUACGGAGGAUGCGAGCGUUAUCCGGAUUUAUUGGGUUUAAAGGGUGCGUAGGCGGACUGUUAAGUCAGUUGUGAAAGUUUGCGGCUCAACCGUAAAAUUGCAGUUGAAACUGGCAGUCUUGAGUACAGUAGAGGUGGGCGGAAUUCGUGGUGUAGCGGUGAAAUGCUUAGAUAUCACGAAGAACUCCGAUUGCGAAGGCAGCUCACUGGACUGCAACUGACACUGAGGCUCGAAAGUGUGGGUAUCAAACAGGAUUAGAUACCCUUGUAGUC
rnacentral:rRNA from 1 species